GGGCGUUAAGUUGCAGGGUAUAGACCCGAAACCCGGUGAUCUAGCCAUGGGCAGGUUGAAGGUUGGGUAACACUAACUGGAGGACCGAACCGACUAAUGUUGAAAAAUUAGCGGAUGACCUGUGGCUGGGGGUGAAAGGCCAAUCAAACCGGGAGAUAGCUGGUUCUCCCCGAAAGCUAUUUAGGUAGCGCCUCGUGAAUUCAUCUCCGGGGGUAGAGCACUGUUUCGGCUAGGGGGCCAUCCCGGCUUACCAACCCGAUGCAAACUGCGAAUACCGGAGAAUGUUAUCACGGGAGACACACGGCGGGUGCUAACGUCCGUCGUGAAGAGGGAAACAACCCAGACCGCCAGCUAAGGUCCCAAAGUCAUGGUUAAGUGGGAAACGAUGUGGGAAGGCCCAGACAGCCAGGAUGUUGGCUUAGAAGCAGCCAUCAUUUAAAGAAAGCGUAAUAGCUCACUGGUCGAGUCGGCCUGCGCGGAAGAUGUAACGGGGCUAAACCAUGCACCGAAGCUGCGGCAGCGACGCUUAUGCGUUGUUGGGUAGGGGAGCGUUCUGUAAGCCUGUGAAGGUG
rnacentral:rRNA from 1 species